rnacentral:misc_RNA from 1 species
GCUCCGUUGGUGAACCAGCGGAGGGAUCAUUACAAGAGAGUUAGCAAUAACUCAUAACCCUUUGUGAACAUACCAUUCUGUCUGUUGCUUCGGCGGGCGGCCGUUCCCCGAGAGGGGGCGCCGCCCGCCGGAGGGACGCAACCCAAACUCUUGCUGUAACCACAGUGGCACAUCCGAGUCAAAACGAACAAACAAAUUAAAACUUUCAACAACGGAUCUCUUGGUUCUGGCAUCGAUGAAGAACGCAGU